rnacentral:rRNA from 1 species
UACGUAGGGUGCAAGCGUUGUCCGGAAUUAUUGGGCGUAAAGAGCUCGUAGGCGGUUUGUUGCGUCGGCUGUGAAAUCCCGAGGCUCAACCUCGGGUCUGCAGUCGAUACGAGCAAACUAGAGUGUUGCAGGGGAGACUGGAAUUCCUGGUGUAGCGGUGAAAUGCGCAGAUAUCAAGAGGAACACCUGAGGUGAAGACGGGUUGCUGGGCUGACACUGACGCUGAGGCGCGAAAGCCAGGGGAGCAAACGGG